UACGAAGGGGGCUAGCGUUGUUCGGAAUUACUGGGCGUAAAGGGCGCGCAGGCGGCUCAUUUUGUCAGGCGUGAAAGCCCCGGGCUUAACCUGGGAACUGCGUUUGAUACGGAUGGGCUAGAGUUCGGGAGAGGAGAGUGGAAUUCCCAGUGUAGAGGUGAAAUUCGUAGAUAUUGGGAAGAACACCGGUGGCGAAGGCGGCUCUCUGGACCGAUACUGACGCUGAGGCGCGAAAGCGUGGGAGCAAACAGGG
rnacentral:rRNA from 1 species